rnacentral:rRNA from 1 species
GACGAACGCUGGCGGCGUGCUUAACACAUGCAAGUCGAACGGAGUGGCGAACGGGUGAGUAACACGUGGGUGAUCUGCCUUGCACUUCGGGAUAAGCUUGGGAAACUGGGUCUAAUACCGGAUAGUGCAAGAUGAGCUCGCGGCCUAUCAGCGUGUGGGUGGGGGAAUGGCCUACCAAGGCGUCGACGGGUAGCCGGCCUGUGAGGGUGUACGGCCCCAUUGGGACUGUGUUACUGCCCAGACUCCUACGGUGUGUAGCAGUGGGGACUAUUGCACAAUUGGCGGGAGCCUGAUGCAGCGACGCCGCGUGGGGGAUGAAGGCCUUCGGGUUGUGAACUCCUUUCAACAGGGACGCGGUACCUGUAUAAGAAGCACCGGCUAACUACGUGCCAGCAGCCGCGGUAAUAC